rnacentral:rRNA from 1 species
ACACGUAGGGGGCAAGCGUUGUUCGGAAUUAUUGGGCGUAAAGGGCAUGUAGGCGGUUUGGUAAGCCUGAUGUGAAAUCCUGCAGCUUAACUGUAGAAUUGCAUUGGGUACUGCCAGACUUGAAUCAUAGAGGGGAAACUAGAAUUUCAGGUGUAGGGGUGGAAUCUGUAGAUAUCUGAAAGAAUACCGGUGGCGAAGGCGGGUUUCUAGCUAAUGAUUGACGCUGAGGUGCGAAAGUGCGGGGAGCAAACAGGAUUAGAUACCCUGGUAGUCCGCACUGUAAACGAUGUACACUAGGUGUCGGGGCAUGAGUCUCGGUGCCAAAGCUAACGUAAUAAGUGUACCGCCUGGGAAGUAUGCUCGCAAGGGUGAA